CUCACCACCUGCCAUCCAGCUAGCAACACGACUGCCUGGCAAUGGGCACACAGCUAACAACACAACAGCCCCUCAACCAACCCACCACCAACCGAUGCCCAGCAACCCUCAAAACAGCAGCUGCCCCCCAGCCAACUCCCCACAGCUUCACAGCCUUCUGUAUGAUGUGAAGUGGUAUGGAAUGACCCUGUGCCUAAUUCAGGCCACUUGUCCUGGCUCUGUCCCACUCCCUGCUACUGCAUCGUAAAGGCAGAGGCUUUUUCCCACUGAGCAUCCCAGCCCAGCCCCAGGUGUGCUCCCAUGACUCCGCAGCUACCAAAACAUCGGUGCACUAUCACCACUGUUUCAGCAGAAACCAGAACACAGGCUUAGCAUUCACUUUCUGUCAAGGACUCUGGGCAACCAAAUGAAGCAAAGUCAAACUGUGCUGUGAGCAGUGACACACCUUGCUGGAACAGUUGGAGAAAGCAGAAUGGAUGUCUGCUCUUAGGAAAUUGUUUUUAUUGUUGUAAUUGAAAACUCUGUGCUCAGUUCAGCACAUCGGUUUCCUAAGCUGCACAAUACAUUUUUCAGCCAGCCUGUGAAGCCUGAAAGAAAGCAGCACAGAAGCUCACAGUCUUGUUUCUCCUGCCUAUCUCAAACUUAUCCUGGCAAAGUGGGUUCUAUAUCACAGCAGAAAGGCCUUCUGCAUCAAGGAGGAGGAUGAGGAAAGCAGACCACAAGCACUGGGGAACCAUGCAGAGGGAGAGGCUGCAGUACCAUCUACAGUGCCAUCUUUCCUACAGCUGUCAGCAGUGGGUGUCUGAUUACAAAGGGAGAAAAGCAAGCAGCAGCUUGGCAGAACAGAUUUGUAAAAUGUACUCAGUCACUGCUGCUGCUGUUAGAGAGAGCAGGGCCUUCCUGCUAGUUGCUAGGAUUUGAUGGUAAGAAGCCAUGCAAAAGCACUGUAAGUCUUAGGCAGUGGCUGCAGGGGGGACUGCACACAGGCAGUGGCUGCUAGGCUUGCUAUCCUGUGUACCUCUGCUCCUGAGGAAGGGGACCUUGUGUUGGGACCAGGAGUGAUGUGGACUCUUUGGUUUGUGGAUCUGCAGGCCAGAGACCAGGAAAAUCUGAGCUGGUCCCACAGAGCUGGUUAACAGCCUACAUAUCUGGACAGAGCUUGUCAGGUCUUGGACCCUUUCCCCCAUCAUCCUGCAGCCAGAAGCCAUCCGGCAUCAAGCAGUCAGAAGAAUCUGGCCUUUUUGCUUUGAGUCACAGAGAUAGCCUGUGGGCUUUAGGUGGGAAGGAUGCCUCUAGUGAAUUCUGACUCCUGUGUCUUGCAUCCCAAGUUACUUCUUGUAGGAGCUCCAUCAACAGAAAUGCCAUGGGAAAGAGAAAAUUCCUCACAGAAACUGCCAGCAAUAGGUGAUGUGAAAAUGCUUUUCCUGAGCAAAGAUAGCUGUUCCAGAGGGGAUCUUCUUCCAGAGCUGGAGCUCAAAGUGAAGGUUUUACAACACGCUGGGAUGCAGCCCUGGACCCUCUCUCAGCAGCAGCACUGUCAUCCUAUAAGCCAAAGGCAGACUGUUGAGAUCUUCUCCAGUUCCCUCAUGCCCACUCUUCUCAAACCCAAGUAAUACUGCGUAGCUGCUCUGAAAGAGCAGCCCAGCAUCCUGCAGGACUGUGUAUUUCCCCUCCAACACCACCUGGCAAGCUACCCCCCGCUCUGAGGGCCCUAUUGUGGAUGCAUGGCAAAAUUUGGAUGGCUCCCAGAGCUGUUUUGCUGCCAUCCACUUCUAAGAAGUGCCACAGGCUACUGAAGUGGAAUUGCUGCCAGCAGGGGACCAAGUUAGACUCCAUCUGGCAAGGUGCUGGGGUGUUGGCCGGGCUGCUGGUAAGAAGGGCUGUUUUUGCUUAAAGAACUGUCCCAUGCACUUAGCAAAGGAUAAUUUAACCUCUGUGUCCUUGCAGAGGAGGAGGAAACUUGCAAGUGUGAACACUGAGACGUGCAGAGCUGUUACGCUCUGCUGACUUGGAACUGCAUUGAUCAGUUUGUGCUAGCUGUGAGCCUGGUGAGGAAACUUUAAGUACAGCAGAUUGAUUGCUACCAAGGGAUAAAUUUCCCAUAGCUAGUCAGAUUCAAGCUCUAAAGUACUGGCAUAUUGAUCUCUUUAUGGUGAUUUAUUAGUAGUGGCUCUGUACCCCAAACUCUCUUGCGCAGUUAUGAGAGUGAAAAAGCAUACUAUUGCUAGCUUAACUCAUUAUUUUUCAGAGUAUAGCACAACCUCUACAUAAAGCCCCAUGUUGACCGGGCAGCCCAGAGUGGGGCUCGAGGAAGCAGAGAGGAACUUAAUGAUCACAAGGCAGCCCCUGCAUCUUCAGUGCACAGAGCCCAAAUGGGCCCUCUGCCCUUUGUCAUACACACUGUUUGGUGUUCCCCUGGCUGAGGAAUGCUGCCCUAUGCACAAGAUUGCAGGGGUAAGGACUCCAUCCCCUAAUCUGAGAACAGGGUGUUGCAGAAGCAGAUCUCCCAGCGAAAGACUGAACCACAGAUCUGCACGUUGUGAAUGUUUUGCAGCGAACAUCUUCCUCCCUUGAUCCCCAUCCGUAAACUGUGCUUGCCUUGGAGACAGUUUCAGGGAGUUACAAGGGUUUAAAUGAGAAGCCCAAAUGGGAAGAGUUGAGGAAGGCUAUGAACAUCCUGCAGCCCAAGAUGUUCUGCCCCCUCUGGGCCCUGCUUGACUUUUGCUACAUAUUUUUCCUUUAGUUUUUCCUAAUUUUCUACUUAAUUUUGCUGAUGCAAAUGAAUUUCUGAUGCCUGAAGUAGCUGCUGAUGUAUUAAGCUCAAAAAAAGCUGAGAUGAUUUAGGUUGACUUCUUUCCCCUGGCUCUGCCAGAGCUCUCCAGACCUGAAGAAGGCAGGGAAGACAAAUACGUGCUGGCUCUUCACCCACCACAGUCUGGUGAUAGUGUAAGGGGAAAUCUUUGGCAGUUGAAGUUAAUAGCUAAGAUAUGAGUGGUUGAAAAAGUAUCAAGCAUCUGCUCCAGGGAUUAACCUGCAGCAGAAUUUGGAUAGCGGGGACGCUGGAGUGUUAAAUCAUCCCCACGUGAAUCAUUGCUGUUCAGCUGGCAGCAGCCUCAGGCACACACCGUGCAUCAGCUGCAAGUGGCACACAUUUGUAUUACUUUAUUUGCAACUAAUGAAAUAGCUAGAAACAUUUAUUGCAUAUAAAUUAUAUAUGAGCACCUCUCGUACAA